rnacentral:lncRNA from 1 species
AUGCUCUGAAUCAGCCUCCAAUACAUGAUACUGUUUCUCCCAUAGCCAGGAUUUACAGGUCCAGUAAUCGAGGGGUGGAAGUGGAAGCGGCACCACUCACUAUCACCCCUAGUGAUCUACUAGCAAAAUUUUUGCUUCCUGUUCCCAUGACAUUACAUUCUGCUGGCUUAGAGGUCUUAGUUCCAGAAGGAGGAGUGCUGCCACCAGGAGACACAACAACAAUGCCAUAAAACUAGAAGUUAAGAUUGCCAUCUGGACACUUUGGGCUCCUCCUACCUUUAAGUCAACAGGCUAAGAAGAGUGUUACAGUGUUGGCUGGGGUGACUGGCCCAGACUAUCAAGAUGAAAUCAGUCUACUACUCCACAAUGGAGUUGCUGAAUGAUAAGCAAUAAUGGAAGGAAACUAUGAAAAUCACACUAGAGUGUCAAUGAAAAUCAUCUACAGUUGAUGGUAUCUAAAAGCGAUAUGACACUUCUGAAAUGGCCUUGUGACAUCAUCUCUGAAUAGAGAAGUUGAAUGAAAUAAGUUUGCAAGCACAUUCUGUAAGAACUUCUCCAGAGACAUGGGCUUUAGGUAUGUCUGCCCAGGAGUGCCAGUUACCAGUAAGAGUUUCAGUUCAUGUUUAUUCUGCAAAACUGGGUGAAGAAAAGUUCAUUUAUCAGAAAUACUUUCUCCAUAGAAGGUCUAAACUUUCGACCAGACUGAAGUCUAUUCAUGUAAUCAACUGUCUUUAAUAUUCAAUGUUCUUACUACAACAGCUGGGCAGGAUUGUCUUUCCCUCCCUGAACAUUUCUUCCCUCUUUGUCAGAAAACAAAUGAAUGUCCUCAGUAUUAUCAGAGUAAG